UAUUUUUCAUCAAUAAGAAUAUGACCAGCAUUUUUCACUUCAAUUAUCAUGUUUGACAUUUUCCUUAGAUGUUUUUUUAUUAUAUGAUCAGGACGUUUUUUGUAAGUGUCAAACUUGAUAGUAAGUGACCGAAGUUUGGUAAAGGACGUACCACCAAACCUUUGAGUUAAUGCGGACCACAUAUCCUUAACUAAGUCAUACUUUAUGAACUCUUUCAUAAU
rnacentral:lncRNA from 1 species